GUGAGUUUACAGCUGAAGUGUAUUUCACUGUAUUCACAUACCUGCAUCUUACCUUCUCCUGAAUUUACUUCAAAAUAGAGCUGGCUUAUUUAUUUUGCAAAACAGUAAUACAAAACUAACAUAACAAAACAUUAAAAAGUAUUAAAAAAAAAAAAAAAACACGCACAGUUGAAGUUGUUGUAAACCCAAGUCAUUUUAGCUUCUGUAAUGAG